UACGGGAGGCAGCAGUGGGGAAUAUUGCACAAUGGGCAGAAGCCUGAUGCAGCGACGCCGCGUGAGGGAUGACGGCCUUCGGGUUGUAAACCUCUUUCAGCAGGGACGAAGCGUAAGUGACGGUACCUGCAGAAGAAGCACCGGCCAACUACGUGCCAGCAGCCGCGGUAAGACGUAGGGUGCGAGCGUUGUCCGGAUUUAUUGGGCGUAAAGAGCUCGUAGGCGGCUUGUCGCGUCGACUGUGAAAACCCGCAGCUCAACUGCGGGCCUGCAGUCGAUACGGGCAGGCUAGAGUUCGGUAGGGGAGACUGGAAUUCCUGGUGUAGCGGUGAAAUGCGCAGAUAUCAGGAGGAACACCGGUGGCGAAGGCGGGUCUCUGGGCCGAUACUGACGCUGAGGAGCGAAAGCGUGGGGAGCGAACAGGAUUAGAUACCCUGGUAGUCCACGCUGUAAACGUUGGGCGCUAGGUGUGGGGGGCCUCUCCGGUUCCCUGUGCCGCAGCUAACGCAUUAAGCGCCCCGCCUGGGGAGUACGGCCGCAAGGCUAAAACUCAAAGGAAUUGACGGAAGC
rnacentral:rRNA from 1 species